CACAAGCCUAGACACGCGCUUCACAAAAAUCAUCCUGUAUUACUCGACAGACGCUUCGAAGCCUCGAUACGGACGGACACAUCACUAAUUUGGAAUAUAAUUUCCACAACAAUUUGGCACCCCAGAUGGGACGGACGAGGGAUUUUGGACUCCGUUGAAGGACAGAAGCCGGCUUAUUUUUGGAAAAUCCUCCCUGCAGGGAGAAGCUGUGUUCAGCGGAGCCCUGAUUUCCGUUCCAGAAAGAAAAGGAAAAGAACUUACACGGUGAGAAAUGAGCAGAUAGUUUGUUAAAAAUUAAGGGAGUGAGAUUGAACAGAGUGAAGGAAGUGGUCUUAUAUCUCGCGCCUGAAUGAUUUGCAGGACCCCUCUGUCUGCUUGUAAACUGAAUGAGUGGGUGGAGAGUGGGACUGGUUUAGGGGCUCGGACAGACGUGUCCGGGUUUUCUCUGUGGUGUCUGAGGGUUUUUGGGGUUUCCAGCUGAUAAGUUAGGUUUGCAGCGCGUAGCCUUAGACUUAACCGAACUCAGUGGACCCAAAUAUUUCUAUGGACCCGAGUACAGACUAGCUAGAGAGAGUAGACUAUGGCAAGUGUCAGAGUAAAGUGAGGACUGAGUCUGAAUCCACUCCCAGAUUACCUUCACCAGUUAUGAAAUUGAUGACUAAAAUAUUAGACAUUAAUGGAACAAUUUGAUAAGCUGGUUGAAAUGGGUUUCCUGCAAAAUGGAAGCUUUAGUCUAAAACUAUUGAACCAGCUAAAGACAUUUGGAGAGAAAGGAUAGCAGAAAUGCAAUAGAGCAUGCAGCCCUGUCCAGAGGAAAGAAAAGUAAACAAACUGCAAUUCAGAUGGGUAAGACAAGAACUGAGGACAAGGAAAGCUCAGAACUGAAAAUUAGAAUAGAUUCAUUAAAGAUCUGAUUAAACUGAUUAGCCCAUUGAUGACUGAUCAACUGACUAUAUCUUCUUUAACCGAGGUACACAAGUCACGGAAUCCAUUCUGACUGAUCCAGUCCUGGACUCCGCUCCUCCUCCUCCAGAAUGCUCCAGUCUGCGAAAAGUCCAAUAAAGACACAUUGGCUCUCCCUCCAGAUUCCCAGAGAAAGAAAUGCCAGGAAAAAAUAGGACAUUGUUGAAGCCAUGGCUCAUGUGACCAGCCUGACUGAAACCUUCAACAGCUCCACAGACACAGCUGGAGCAUUUUGGAUAAGGUUGUCAAAGAAUAUGGGCCACAAUGACUGAGAUAAACACAGCGAUGAGAAAAUCAAAUCAAGCUGGACUUCUCAAGAUCAGCAUAAAGAUAAGAAUAAAAUGUUCCUUUCUUAAUCACCAUCACUAUCAUCAUACGUCACUCUAGCCAGACAAGAAGGAAAGCAGUUUGAAGUAUGCUGAGUAAAAAUGACAAUGCACAGUCCAGAAUUACCAUUGGACUAAGCUCUGUCCUCUACUGUACAUCUUGAUAAUUAAAUUAAAAGCACGAUGUUGACCACGUAGGAGCUGAGGUUAGUAAUGUUAAAGUAAAUUAGGGAUGCAAACUAACAUUAGUCCUUUUAAGCUAAUGAGGAAAUUAUUCUCUUGGAUUUUGAUGUACAAAUGAAAUGCUUGUAAUAAUAAAGAAGGGAUGUGGUUCUCAUGUU